UACGUAGGGGCCGAGCGUUGUCCGGAGUUAUUGGGCGUAAAGCGCGCGCAGGCGGCUUGACGCGCCCGACGUGAAAGCCCCCGGCUUAACCGGGGAGGGUCGUCGGGUACGGUCAGGCUUGAGGGCGGGAGAGGGUGGUGGAAUUCCCGGUGUAGUGGUGAAAUGCGUAGAGAUCGGGAGGAACACCUGUGGCGAAGGCGGCCACCUGGGCCGACCCUGACGCUGAGGCGCGAAAGCCAGGGGAGCAAACGGG
rnacentral:rRNA from 1 species